rnacentral:tRNA from 1 species
ACCCAAUUGGGAAAUGGUAUUUCAGCACUUCCUUGGUAAGGAAAAGGUCCCCGGUUCGAAUCCGGGCGUGGGCUCCA